rnacentral:rRNA from 1 species
UACGGGGGGAGCAAGCGUUGUUCGGAUUUACUGGGCGUAAAGGGCGCGUAGGCGGCGUGACAAGUCACUUGUGAAAUCUCCGGGCUUAACCCGGAGCGGCCAAGUGAUACUGUCGUGCUAGAGUGCGGAAGGGGCUACUGGAAUUCUCGGUGUAGCGGUGAAAUGCGUAGAUAUCGAGAGGAACACCUGCGGCGAAGGCGGGUAGCUGGGCCGACACUGACGCUGAUGCGCGAAAGCGUGGGGAGCGAUCCGG